UUUUAUUAGUGCUUCAGAGUCCAGUCUACCUUUGGUUUGUCCAGUGUCUUGGUGGGAGAAAGUAGACAGGUGGUGUUUGUCAUUCGACUGGGACGAACGCAGUCAGGAUUGGACGGACAAAGGCAGCGAAGGACAAGGCAGCGGUCAAAAGGUCCUUAGAAGAAAAGGACCUGUGGAUCUGUAAAUAUUGUGCACAGGUGGGUCUUUGGAAGGAAGCAGGCAUGGGCUGUUGCGCCAGUCAAGGUCAGGAGGAUGUGGACCCGAAACACAGGGCCUCGGAGAACGGCUGCACCAAUUGCUGCAGGAGCACCCGCGGAUGCCUCAUGAGUCCGGAGUGUGGCCGGGCGCUCCAGAUCGCCAGCACCUGCGCCAUGUGCGGCAUGUGCCUUGAAUGGUUUGCCAAUUGCUUCGUCUAGUCCCACGAGGCAC
ensembl:lncRNA